rnacentral:tRNA from 1 species
GAGGGUAGAGCUCAAUGGUAAGAGUGUGAAUACCUAGCAUUCACAAGGUCCUGGGUUCAAUCCCCAGCACCUCCA